rnacentral:rRNA from 1 species
GACAAAGGGUCGCGAUCACGCGAGGGUGAGCUAACUUCAAAACUCGUCCUUAGUUCGGAUGGCAAGCGACCAGGGCGACACACGUGCUACAAUGGCCUGGACAAAGGGUCGCGAUCUCGCGAGGGUAAGCUAACUUCAAAACCUGUCCUCAGUUUGGAUUGUAGGCAGGAACUCGCCUGCAUGAAGCCGAAAUCGCUAGUAAUCGCCGGUCAGCCAUAUGGCGGUGAAUUCGUUCCCCGGCCUUGUAC